rnacentral:rRNA from 1 species
CCUACGGGAGACAGCAGUAGGGAAUCUUCCACAAUGGGCGAAAGCCUGAUGGAGCAACGCCGCGUGGGUGAAGAAGGUCUUCGGAUCGUAAAACCCUGUUGUUAGAGAAGAAAGUGCGUGAGAGUAACUGUUCACGUUUCGACGGUAUCUAACCAGAAAGCCACGGCUAACUACGUGCCAGCAGCCGCGGUAAUACGUAGGUGGCAAGCGUUAUCCGGAUUUAUUGGGCGUAAAGGGAACGCAGGCGGUCUUUUAAGUCUGAUGUGAAAGCCUUCGGCUUAACCGGAGUAGUGCAUUGGAAACUGGGAGACUGGAGUGCAGAAGAGGAGAGUGGAACUCCAUGUGUAGCGGUGAAAUGCGUAGAUAUAUGGAAGAACACCAGUGGCGAAAGCGGCUCUCUGGUCUGUAACUGACGCUGAGGUUCGAAAGCGUGGGUAGCAAACAGGAUUAGAUACCCCGGUAGUC